GUGUCAGCCGCCGCGGUAAUACAGGGGGGGCAAGCGUUGUUCGGAAUUACUGGGCGUAAAGGGUUCGUAGGUGGCCAACUAAGUCAUACGUGAAAUCCCUCAGCUUAACUGGGGAACUGCGCCUGAUACUGGUUGGCUUGAGUGCAGGAGAGGAACGCGGAAUUCCAGGUGUAGCGGUGAAAUGCGUAGAUAUCUGGAGGAACACCGGUGGCGAAGGCGGCGUUCUGGACUGCAACUGACACUGAGGAACGAAAGCCAGGGGAGCAAACGGGAUUAGAUACCCUCGUAGUCC
rnacentral:rRNA from 1 species